AUGAUUUUUGCCUGUGUCUUUUCAGAAAAAGCUAAAACUCGAGAAAUGAUUAACAACUUGAACAACAAACGCAAUGCAGCAUCCGCCGCGAGUUCUGUGACCAGCACUGCCCUUAACCAGGUUAAAAAGGCUGAACCUGUCCGGACCCCGGUGACAGAGGCUCCAGGUUCCUGGAGAACGGCUUUGCGUAAAGCAGGCAGUUCUGUGACGUUGGGCUCUGCUGUGGCCUCUGAUCCAGCCAGCGAGGCCCUCAAGGACCCCGAGACUAAACUGGGAAUGACACGCUCUGCAUCCAGUCCCAGACUGAGCUCUGAGUCUGACAAUAAGGAGCCCAGGUUGGCCCGUGUUCAGCCCACUCCGUCCAGACGCCUAUUCAGCAUCUCCGACACCAGCACUAACCCUGAACACUCCAGCAGGUGAGAGACACAGGAAACACAAAGAGUAUUUCCUGUUCUGAGUGUUUUCCAAGCUCAUCCAUCCUCCUGUGUGUGUGUGUGUGUGUGUGUGUGUAGCUUGCUGAGCCGGAGCUCUUCAUACACGCGCCGUUUGAACAGCCAGUCCGGCGGUGACGUGUCGGCUCAGAACCCCUCGUUACCUCGCAGCUCAUCUUAUGGAAGGAAACUUGACGACCCUUCAGUGACCUCUGUAACCACGGCAACCUCUGGACUGAGUCGCCUCAAUAAUCUGGUGGCUCAGAGGUGCGUGUGUCUCUGAUCGCGUGAUUUGACCACAUCUUUUUUGCAUUCAUACGAUCUGGUGUCUCUCUCACAGGUCGGCUCAGGAAGAGGCCGAAAAGAAGGAGCCUGUCUCGAAUUCUGUAACCACGACAACCACAUUAGGCGAGCCAGAGACCAAACAGAGACGCAAGUGAGUGUGUGAUGAUUUCCACGCGACAGAGUGCUAAUAAUCCUCUCUCCUGCUGGAAAAAAACAUGUCAGACUAACCUGAAGUCAAUGUGAGAUGACUUUUGACACACGUACUUUCUUAAAACACUGUGAAUGAUUAAUAUGUGCACUCUGUGUGCGUAUAUAUGUAUUAAAGAUGUGCGGAUCAGCUUAAACGUAAGAGUAAGAAGCUGUCACUGCAACUUCCCGAACAAGUGAACGCUAGGGUUUGGCGAUAUGACCAAGAAAUCAUAUCUCGGUACCAUAUUUUCUACAUUUUUGCUAUUUGGAUGAAAAAAAGAAUCUGUAUUUAUUUAAAAAAAUAUAUAUUUUACGACGUGCCCAAUGUUAUCCAAUGAAACAAUGUUCAUAUUAAAAGCUAUUAAAACAAAUAUAGCAAAUGCAACCAUGUAGGCUAUGCUUUAUAAUAGCCAAUGUGCAUAAAAAGAGUUAAAAUCACAUUACAUUCUAACAUUGCAUGAUUUCAAUCUAAAAACAAAUAUGUUGCAUCUUCAGGCGGAAGUUAAGUUAAAAAG
ensembl:lncRNA